rnacentral:rRNA from 1 species
AGUGAACGCUGGCGGUAGGCCUAACACAUGCAAGUCGAACGGCAGCACCGUAAGAGCUUGCUCUUACGGGUGGCGAGUGGCGGACGGGUGAGGAAUACAUCGGAAUCUACUUUUUCGUGGGGGAUAACGUAGGGAAACUUACGCUAAUACCGCAUACGACCUACGGUUGAAAGCAGGGGAUCUUCGGACCUUGCGCGAUUGAAUGAGCCGAUGUCGGAUUAGCUAGUUGGCGGGGUAAAGGCCCACCAAGGCGACGAUCCGUAGCUGGUCUGAGAGGAUGAUAAGCCACACGGGAGCUGAGACACGGUCAAGACUCCUACGGGAGGCAGCAGUGGGGAAUAUUGGACAAUGGGCGCAAGCAUGAUACAGCCAUACCGAGUGGGUGAAGAAGGCCUUCGGGUUGUAAAGACGUUUUGUUGGGAAAGAAAAGCAGCAGGUUAAUACCCCGCGGUUCUGACGGUACCAAAAGAAGAAGCACCGGCUAACUUCGUG